CCACGAGGGGCUAGAAGGGGGCAGCGGGAGGAGCAGGAAGGGUGAGGCAGUUCCGGGUGCACGGAGGAACAGAACGCCCUGAGAUAGCAUCUGGGCCUCCUCUGUUCAGAAAGCUCCACCCAUCUUACCCGAACACUCAUCUUUAAGGGCAGGGUUCCUGGGGGCAAGGGCAGGUGCCCGGGCGUACUGCCAAGCCUGGAGUCACGGGAGAAUGCACAGCUGGUUCUCCUCCAGAUGCUUUUGGGGUGAGGAGGGUGAAACAGUCAGCCCUUCUUUAACGUUGUGUACAGCUGUCACCAGUCAGAUCCACUGAGGCACCAGCCGGGGGGCUCUGGUCACCACUCUGCUGACCGAGGUGCUGCUCUCAGGGUUCUGCUUCGUGCUUCGGAGACCGCGUGAAGCCAGGGUGGGAAAGAACCAAGUGCCAGUCCUGACCUGGACUGUGGCUUCUGGCAAGUUUCCAAGUCUCAGUGCAGAUCCAGCACAUGCAAAGGACUCCACCCUUGUCAUCCUUCCACCAUCCCAGGCCACCAGGACAGUCACGCACACACGCCAUGGCCUGUCUCCCAGACUCCAGCCCAACACCCAGAAAAAUGCAGACACUUCCCAUCCAGCCAUAUGCUAAGCUACCAGAGCCCAGCAAGGCAGAGCUCGUCACCCUGCCCCCAACAGAUGAAGACGCCCAGGCUUAGAGCAAUGAAGUUACCUCCAAGGUCACACAACCCGCACACGAGCACAUACACACACGCACACACCCACCCCCGCAGCCCCCAAGGGAACAACCUGUGCGAAAAGGGGCAGCCAGGGUGGAAACAGCCACAGCGUCCCCUUCUAAACCUUGAGACGACGCUCACUGUGAGCAGGCCAUCUACGGAGAUGAUGAUGUAUGCCCAAUUCAAGCCUUUUCUGAAGGACUGCACUUUAAACUUACUGCUCCCAGGAGCAGUAGAAGAGAAAAUUGCAGACAGUAAUAAUAAAAUAACAACAAGCUGUAAUAAAUCUCCGAA
rnacentral:lncRNA from 1 species